GACAGAGGAGCCAAGCGUUGUCCGGAUUGACUGGGCGUAAAGCGCACGCAGGCGGAUGCGCGCGUGGGGUGUGAAAUCUGGCCGCUUAACGGCCAGGCGCCAUCCCAUACGGCGCGUCUGGAGUGAUGCAGAGGUCGAUGGAAUUGCCGGUGUAGUGGUGAAAUGCGUAGAGAUCGGCAGGAACACCCAGGGGGAAACCAGUCGACUGGGCAUCUACUGACGCUGAGGUGCGAGAGCGUGGGGAGUGAACCGG
rnacentral:rRNA from 1 species